rnacentral:rRNA from 1 species
AAUGAACGUUGGCGGCGUGGAUUAGGCAUGCAAGUCGAACGGGCCGCAAGGCCAGUGGCGCAAGGGUGAGUAAGGCGACGGUAACCAACCCCAUGAUUGGGUAUAGCCGCGGGAAACCGCGGGUAAUCCCCAGCGACGCAACGACACCGGCCUCGGUGUUUUGCCAAAGCUUCGGCGUCGUGGGACGGGCUGUCGUGGUAUUAGCUUGUUGGCGGGGUAAUGGCCCACCAAGGCGGCGAUGCCUACCGGGCGUGCGAGCGCGACCCGGCACACUGGGACUGAGACACUGCCCAGACUCCUACGGGAGGCUGCAGUCGAGAAUCUUCGGCAAUGGGCGCAAGCCUGACCGAGCGACGCCGCGUGGAGGACGAAGGCCUUCGGGUUGUAAACUCCUGUCGAGGGGGAAGAAGGGCCGCGAGGCCUUGACUGAUCCCUGGAGGAAGCACGGGCUAAGUUCGUGCCAGCCGCCGCAGUAAGAC